AGUGAUAAUUGUACACGUUGGAUACAAGUAACACAGCACUACGUACAAAUAUGAAAGUAUCAUUGAAACUACCAUUUUUAUUCCUGACUUUCACAGUGUGUGUCUCUCUAGCAACGAAUGACCUCUGGUAUGAAAGCUCAUCAAACUGUCUCUUUCCUGUUAAAAUUCCAUUGUGUGAAGUCAUAUUUGUUUUCCGGCAAAAUGCGUCUGUAUUGAAAAACUCUGAAAAUGAAAGUAAAAGUGGGGAAUUUCACAGUUCUGGAAAGGAAGUAACUUCUCGCUGCAUCGUACGAAGAGAGAUUUAACCGAGAAUUUUCGGGAAAAGCACGUGACGUUUGUAAGUGAAGGAACGCCAAUAACAUUUAAUUUUCUUAAACAGAGUUUGCCAGGCUUUGCAAAUACUAAAGAGAGAGACUUGCAUACUUUCAUUAUCGUCUUUUUAAACAAAGCUGAGAACGAAAGAAAACAAAUGACGUCAUUUUGGACAAUGUUAAACACCGUUAUGUCGAAGAAGAUAAGAUCAAAUGUGUGUGGUAAAAGCACACAGGAUACCUUACGCGUAUGCAAAACUGUCAUCCAAAAUAAUAGACGGAGAAUUCAGAAAUCUGAUGUCAAGUUGUCUGGGUAUCGUUUCUGUCCAGUCAGCUUGGCAGAUUUGGGACCCAAAACGUAUAUGGCUAAUUUCAAUCCUCAAAACAAAAAUGCUCCCUGUAAGUAUUCAGCGCAAGGUAUGUUUAACUUAGGGGCUGGACUAGUAGAAAACAGAGAACACAGCGAUAAAAACACAGAUUGGUUUAUUGUGAACCAUUUGGAAAAAUCAAAAAUGUAUGGCAAGGUAUUGGAUUGCAAGAAAUAAAUCACGGAAAUGAUAAACGUAUGGAUAUACACCACAAAAAAAUACCGAAAGAUGGAUAUUGUUAUAUGUAGUUUCACUAUAUCAUUGUUAUUAACAUAUUUCAGUUAUUUUUUUAUAUUGUAAGAUGGCAUAUAGAAGAUAGUUAUUUUUGUGAAAUAUUGCCUAUAUAAUUCAUUUUUUUCUUUCUGUUUUCUAUAUUGUAACUCUCAUCUUUCAUUUAAUAUUUAACAUUUUCCUUUUUGUAUGAUAUCCUGUCAAGUCAAUAAAAUGUGCAUGGAAUGCAAACUGUCUUGCUGUUGAAGUAAAACAACUCUAACAUUAGUAUUCAUAGCGCAUGUACAGAUACGUAGCAUUUUAGUUCUAAAUAAACUCAAAAUAAUGAU
rnacentral:sRNA from 1 species